rnacentral:pre_miRNA from 1 species
AAAAUACUCCCUCCGUUCCGAAAUAAGUCAUACGUUUGGGAAAAAUUCUUGUUCCGAAAUAUUUCAUACGUUUGGGAAAAAAUUGGGAUUAAGGGAAAGUUUGUUGGUAAAUGUUUUGUGUUUUAUUUCGGAACAAGAAUUUUUCCCAAACGUAUGACUUAUUUCGGAACGGAGGGAGUAUUUU